rnacentral:lncRNA from 1 species
AGAUGCUGUCUUUUGCAGUCCUCCGAGAGCCUUCUCCGCUGGUGGUAUACUUACGAGGACCAGAGGUGAGGUGUCAGCAAGGAGGCCCACAGGUGGAAAGUGCUUUGGGCCAAUGGUACACACCUGCUUUAUUGGAUAGACGCAGAGAAGUAUGCCUGGUCACAGCCAGAGCUUACUCGGUCAAGAAAUUAUGAGCUCCCCAGAAGUCUCUUGUAUGCUGUCUCCUAGUUGUGAGCACCUUUUACCAAAGAUUAAAAAGAAAAAAGAAAAUCAGGUGGAUAAAGAGCCUCAGGUCUAACUGAAUUGUCAACUAAUGGUUUGCCAGAUAUAAAAUUAUUCAUAAGGAGGGUGUUCCAAGAUGGUUCAAAAAGGAACAGCUUCGGUCUGCAGCUCCCAGCAGGAUUGAUGCAGAAGACAAGUGAUUUCUGCAUUUCCAACUGAGAUGGUCUGAGAGUACCUGUGCUGAAAUGGAAUUGUCUUUGAGUGGACACUUCUUAGAUGAGACCUAUUGUGGCCAAUAGCUCCUGAGGAACUGAAGCCUUCAGUUCAAAACUUGUGUGAGAAAAAUGAAUCUUGCCAACUACUGGAGUGAGCUUAGAAAUGAAUCCAUCCCCAGUUGACCCUUGAAUGUAGCCUUGUCAGAGACCCAGAGACAAAGCAUCCUGCUAAUCUGCACUGGGUUCUAGGCCCACAGAAACCAUGGGAUAAUAACUUUGUGUUGCUAUAAGCCACUGAAAACAAACAAAUAAAAUACUUAAGAUGUUCCCCUGUGGAAGGGUUCCAUUGCCAGGGAUCUGCACUUCACAACCAAAGGGAUUAAAGAGAAUUGCCUUCUUCAGAUUUCAGACUGUGGCCUGCUUCUGGUUUUUCUUUCUAUAUUCAUAUAUAUGUUUGUUUAAAUCAUCCUACUUUUGGAGCAGGAAAAGUUACUAUUACAGUUUAUACAAAGGGAAGAAAUCUGGUACAUGCUAAAGUUAUUCAUCUGUAACUACCUGACGAGCCCAAUUAGUUGCUUGCUCCUAUGGAUUCUGAGCCUAAAAUCCCUUCAACAGAUCUUUGACCUUUUCUAAGUUAAGUUUUUGGAAGUAUCCUAUUUGUUCACUUACUUGGGCCAGAGACUAUAGAGAUUAAGAGAAAGUUUGAUAUUUGACCCUAAUUUUAGGCUAAAACAAUUUAGAUGGAAAGAACAGACACAAUUCAAUUUAACCAUCUUCAACUGCUGUGCUUUAGAAAGCUGGGAGUGUGGAGAAUGGAGUAGGUGUACAGAAAAAUAAGAACAGUUCUGUUCUUCAGGGCUUGAUAAAGGCUGCUGUGAGUUGGAUGGACAAUAAUUACUACUGACUAGGUCUAGCUGGGAUAGUUAGGGGAGACUUUCUGAAAGAGGCAACACAUGAGCUGGGUUCUAAAUCUCAAAUAGGAUUUGAUGGCUGAAGAUGAGGGUAAUAAAACAAGAGAAACAAGUACAUUCCAGAUAGAAAGAAUAGUAUAAGCCAAGAAAAACCUAUUCCAGGGCAGCAGGGAAGAGUCUGAAGUGGCAAAACAAAGUAGGAGGCAAAGCUGUCAAUAUAAGUAACUUGGUAGAGAAACAUUAGGAGUUUGGAUUUUAUCCCAUUGACUAGGAGGAUUUAAAAACAGAAAAUGCUCACAGGGGCCAGGCAAGUUAUGAGUAAAUAAAAGGUCCAGGUGUAAGUGCAACAGGGCCCAUGGACAUAGGAAUGGGGGAUGUGAAAAACCAACCUUUGCUAACAGUGAGUUCUACUAUGCAGUUUUAGCUGAUUAUAGCCAGACUCGAAAGCAACCUUUGUAGGGUUGACAGUUCUUGUGAUUGUUCAAGAAAAAAAUUUAUGUAAAAUCUACUGACUUGAAAAUACUAGAUUAAUUUAUUUAAUGUUAUAGAGCUCAAAUAAAACACAUUUGUCUUAUUUAUA